GUAGUAGUAAAAAUGAAAAUAAAAAUUGGUAUUUUAGUUGGAAAUCUAUCUUUUAUCAACUCAAGUACUUGAACAAAAGCUGACAAUUCCGGUGCAAAUGUACAAUUAUUUAUAAACAUUGUACAACUGAAAAUAUCAACAGCUUUAAAGAAAACCAAAUGUUAACAUAACUAAUCAAAUUAACUCUUUAAAGGGGUGAAACUUUAGGGCAUUAAAAUCUAUUACAUAUGUUACAUUAAUGUAUUCUCACUAUGUGUAACCAUUGCAAACUAAAUGCUCACUCACAUGGAAGUUACAUUUGAAUCUAAAUCUAAAUACAAAGAUAAACCAAAAAAAAAAAAACUCACAAACAACCUCUCUUGCUCAAGCAAUUGAUACUUCAUUAGUUAUUUUGAUCAAGAAUCACCAUGUUUGUUCCAGCACACAAGCAUGGUGAUGCAUCGCUUGACAAUGUAAAAUUUGGCCUUUUGUUCCUUGGCCAAUCCGCCACAUUUUCGCGUAAAAUUGGCGCAUUUUUGUGAAGAGCUCCUUGCUAGAGGAGAUUUUGAAGAAGAGGAGCUCUUUUGUGAACCACUCCUUGAAAGGGGAGGCUUGGAGGAAGAGUUUUUAUGAGAGAGACUUCUUAAAAGAGGAGAGUUGGAGGUAGAGCUCUUUUGUGUGAUGCUCCUUAUUAGAGAUGAUUUGGAAGAGUUAUAAGAAUGGCCAAUUGAAUGUUUUUUUGAUAUCUUGGACUUUUCAUCCAUGUAGUACUCCAUAACCAGUUCAAAGAGUAACCUCUGAAUUUUCUCUUCAAGUGGGGGAGCCUAUUUAUAACAAUAUAGGGCCGUACAUAUGUCGGAGGAGCUUGUAAGUGGAUGUUGACUAGUGUUUCUUAACCAUGAC
rnacentral:lncRNA from 1 species